rnacentral:lncRNA from 1 species
CGAUUCGGAAUGUAAAACCACAUCUAAAUUCAUUAGAAUUUCGAAAUUAUUUAUUAAAAUUACUUGAAAAAUUUGACUGAUGGGCCCCAACUUUGGGUCCCUAUAUCUCAAUAAUGAAGCCUCAGCUGUAAAUAAUAAUUACAUUUUUGGACUCAGCACAUCCGAAUUAGGGGUGCACUAUAAAGGGGUGCAAAUUUUCAAAUGGGGAAAUAUACCCGUACGUGACAUAUGGCAGCGAGUAGCUGAUAGUUGCCAACCAACCAGCUACUCAGCAGUGAUCUUGACAGGGACUGAUCUAAUGGCGAUAUUGACAGACAUAGAGCUUUUCGCUGAAUGCUAGAGAAACGGCUAUUCCAGCACUGUAACCUGCAAUAUCUGGUUAAAUUAUAUCGAAAAAAUUACCCUAAUAUCCCAUUAUCAAAAUCGCUAAACUAAAAUUCAAAAUUAUAUCUAAA